UACGUAGGUGGCGAGCGUUGUCCGGAAUUAUUGGGCGUAAAGAGCGCGUAGGUGGCUUGUCAGGUCUGAUGUGAAAACUUGGGGCUCAACCCCAAGCCUGCAUCGGAAACCGGCUUGCUAGAGUCUGGGAGAGGAGAGUGGAAUUCCUGGUGUAGCGGUGAAAUGCGUAGAUAUCAGGAGGAACACCGGUAGCGAAGGCGGCUCUCUGGAACAGUACUGACACUGAGGCGCGAAAGCUAGGGGAGCGAACAGG
rnacentral:rRNA from 1 species